CCAAUCUCAGGUCCUCUUGAGGACGUCUGAAACCCUUGAAUACCUUACUUUGUUGCUUUGGCAGGCCGCCUCCGGGCGUCGGCUCCGGCUGACUGCGCCUGCCAGAGGACCCCAACUCUUUUGUUUAGUGAUGUCUGAGUACUAUAUAAUAGUUA
rnacentral:misc_RNA from 2 species